AUUGAACGCUGGCGGCAGGCCUAACACAUGCAAGUCGAGCGGAUGAAGGGAGCUUGCUCCUGGAUUCAGCGGCGGACGGGUGAGUAAUGCCUAGGAAUCUGCCUGGUAGUGGGGGAUAACGUCCGGAAACGGGCGCUAAUACCGCAUACGUCCUGAGGGAGAAAGUGGGGGAUCUUCGGACCUCACGCUAUCAGACGAGCCUAGGUCGGAUUAGCUAGUUGGUGGGGUAAAGGCCUACCAAGGCGACGAUCCGUAACUGGUCUGAGAGGAUGAUCAGUCACACUGGAACUGAGACACGGUCCAGACUCCUACGGGAGGCAGCAGUGGGGAAUAUUGGACAGUGGGCGAAAGCCUGAUCCAGCCAUGCCGCGUGUGUGAAGAAGGUCUUCGGAUUGUAAAGCACUUUAAGUUGGGAGGAAGGGCAGUAAGUUAAUACCUUGCUGUUUUGACGUUACCAACAGAAUAAGCACCGGCUAACUUCGU
rnacentral:rRNA from 1 species